ACGCACGCUGGCGGCGUGCCUAAUACAUGCAAGUUGAGCGCUGAAGGUUGGUACUUGUACCAACUGGAUGAGCAGCGAACGGGUGAGUAACGCGUGGGGAAUCUGCCUUUGAGCGGGGGACAACAUUUGGAAACGAAUGCUAAUACCGCAUAAAAACUUUAAACACAAGUUUUAAGUUUGAAAGAUGCAAUUGCAUCACUCAAAGAUGAUCCCGCGUUGUAUUAGCUAGUUGGUGAGGUAAAGGCUCACCAAGGCGAUGAUACAUAGCCGACCUGAGAGGGUGAUCGGCCACAUUGGGACUGAGACACGGCCCAAACUCCUACGGGAGGCAGCAGUAGGGAAUCUUCGGCAAUGGACGAAAGUCUGACCGAGCAACGCCGCGUGAGUGAAGAAGGUUUUCGGAUCGUAAAACUCUGUUGGUAGAGAAGAACGUUGGUGAGAGUGGAAAGCUCAUCAAGUGACGGUAACUACCCAGAAAGGGACGGCUAACUACGUG
rnacentral:rRNA from 1 species